rnacentral:rRNA from 1 species
AGAGUUUGAUCCUGGCUCAGGACGAACGCUGGCGGCGUGCUUAACACAUGCAAGUCGAACGGAAAGGCCCUUCGGGGUACUCGAGUGGCGAACGGGUGAGUAACACGUGGGUGAUCUGCCCUGCACUUUGGGAUAAGCCUGGGAAACUGGGUCUAAUACCGAAUAUGACCAUGCGCCUCCUGGUGUGUGGUGGAAAGCUUUUGCGGUGUGGGAUGGGCCCGCGGCCUAUCAGCUUGUUGGUGGGGUAAUGGCCUACCAAGGCGACGACGGGUAGCCGGCCUGAGAGGGUGACCGGCCACACUGGGACUGAGAUACGGCCCAGACUCCUACGGGAGGCAGCAGUGGGGAAUAUUGCACAAUGGGCGCAAGCCUGAUGCAGCGACGCCGCGUGAGGGAUGACGGCCUUCGGGUUGUAAACCUCUUUCAGCACAGACGAAGCGCAAGUGACGGUAUGUGCAGAAGAAGGACCGGCCAACUACGUGCCAGCAGCCGCGGUAAUACGUAGGGUCCGAGCGUUGUCCGGAAUUACUGGGCGUAAAGAGCUCGUAGGUGGUUUGUCGCGUUGUUCGUGAAAACUCACAGCUUAACUGUGGGCGUGCGGGCGAUACGGGCAGACUUGAGUACUGCAGGGGAGACUGGAAUUCCUGGUGUAGCGGUGGAAUGCGCAGAUAUCAGGAGGAACACCGGUGGCGAAGGCGGGUCUCUGGGCAGUAACUGACGCUGAGGAGCGAAAGCGUGGGGAGCGAACAGGAUUAGAUACCCUGGUAGUCC